GGAUCAGGGAGGUAAUAUGCUGAAGAGACAUGCCCGGGUUACCGUGAAGUACAACAGGAAGGAGCUGCAGAAGCGGCUGGAUGUGGAGAAGUGGAUCGACGAGAGCCUGGACCGCCUGUACUCAGGCCAGGAGGUUGACAUGCCAGAAGAGGUGAACAUUGAUGAAUUGAUUGACCUGCCUAAUGAUGAAGAGAGAGUCCGAAAGUUACAGGAGCUUCUUCGAAAGUGUCGUACAAACACAGAGACCUUCAUCAGAGAGCUGGUGGGAAAGCUUGAGGGAGUUCACAAGCAGGACGAGCUGCAGAGCGAAGGCAUCGAGCAUCCGGUUAUCGCCCACAGCCACUACCGCCAUGAGCCCUACCACUUUAACCACCCGCACCAUCCCCAGCAGCACCACUUCCACCACACUCAUGGCCAAAACCAGACCCUCUGACAGCUCCCAACCAACAUACACACACGCACACAUAAACACUAUAAUGACAUAAAAGCAUACAAGGCAAACGUGAAAAAAAAACUACUGUAAAGCUUUUAAGGGAAUACUCUGACAUUAUGGGAAAUGUGCUUAAAUACCUCCUUACCAAGAGUUAGAUGAAAAGAUUGAUACUGCUCCUGUCGCUGUGCCUUAAAGGUACCCCGUGGGGUUUUUGACCACUUGUAGCAUUAUGAGGCAAUAUUGUACAUUUGAGUCCUUGUUUGGUUCGUGUGCACGCACACAAGGGUGCACAUGCAUGGGCAUGUAUGUAUAGUGUGACAUUCAUGUUUUACUACCAGUCAAGACAUAGUUCAGCAUGUAACCCCCUUAAAACCACAACUUGUAGUUUCAUAUCAGUUUUAUAUUAGGAUUAAACAAGUUAUAACAUUUUAAUUAAUGAGCGUAGAGGUAGAUAAAUGUUGUUACUUUUUGACUAAGUCAGACCAGCUGCUUCCCCUUGCUUGCUGUCUUUAGGCUAAAGCUAACUGUAUGCUGUCUGUAGCCUUAUAUUUAACAGACAGGUAUUAGAGUGAUAUCAGUUUUUUAACUAUAAUCUAACUGUUGGCAAGAGAACAAAUAAGCAUGUUUACCAAACUUUCAAAUCGUUCCUUUAGCCAUUUAUUAAAACACAGAUAUUUGCAACAUAUAGGUAGAUAACUGCAACAGCUUCACUCUUGAAGUGCUGUUUAACAUAAAUAGCAAUCACACCCAAAGACAUACAUGAUAGAAGGAUAUAUUUUUCCAUGGACAGUAUCCCCAGAACAUCAGGAUGCAUUUAUUUGCAUCAUCAAAAUAUAAACUCUCACUUUUAUUGGGCUGGAAAAAUGUGUCAUUUAUGUUCUUCCUGCCAUUCUCUCCAUGUGCACACAUUUAGAUGAAGCAGUUUGUGGCACUGAUACAUUAUCUGAUGACAGUAGAUGAAGGAAAGGAGGGUCAGCAAAUAGAUUAUACAGGUCUUCAUUUUAAAAUAUAAUCCUGUGUGUGUUCACCACACACUGAUCAUCCAAGUAUGGAUUUUACAUUGAAAACAUCCCUGUCCGGGUUUAACUGUGAUUUGAACUGUGACACAGUUACAAUAUGAUUAGAACAUUGGUGCUGCACCACUGUUUAGAUAACACUGCUAAAUUAGAUGCACAUACAGUACAUGAUUUAUUUAACAUCUGUUAAAUUAUGAUGGCCAUGAAUGUUAUUUAUUGAUUACAGGAAAUGGAGAUCGAUCCAACACAGGAGUAUGCUGUAACACUGGAAAUAAUCCUUUUGCUUUGCUUACACACUGUAGUCAUUCAUUCCUUUUGUUUUUGAGUUGUCCUAUACAUUGUCAGUUAUGUAUACCAGUACAUUCACCAAAUCUGGAUUCUGCAAAGAGACAUCAGUCGGAAUUGUUAAUAAAACUAUUUGGUUCACUACAAGUGCAUUGAUUGCUGUGAUAUACAGUAUUAUGCUUUGGCAGCAUAAUGUUUUCUCCAGGGCAGAAGGAACUGAAAAUAUGUGGGUUAUCUGAUCAGUGAGAUGGGGAAUAGUUGAGAAUUUGUUAGAUACACCUGCAAAAGUUCAUGUGAUUUAAUAUCUUACCUCAGACAAAAACCACCUCUCUCUUUAUAUGUUUGCUCACUCUUGAGGCUGUUGUUAGUUGUGUUGUACUGGACUCUGUAAUAUUGCAUCUUAACACGAAAUGGAAUGCGGUUCAGUUAUACAGUAUACCGUAUCUCCUUUUGGUUCACUGCAAAACAUAGUCACACCAUUUUCUCUUCAUGCAUGCAAAAAAUAGUUAUUAAGCACAACUAAUGACACCUGAACACCCCCUACCUGAAUUAAAUACCUACACAAAACAAUAUAUAUGAAUUCAAUACAGAUUUCUAUUUUGUACAACUGUCUUAUUUUUCUAGAGAACUGACCUCUGACUGACCUAGAAAACCUCCACAGCUCUCUUGAAUAGUUUCAGAGGAAACCAUAAGUCACCUAGAAAUAUUUAUGCAUUGUAUUUUUUCUAGAUACAAUAGUCAAACUAUCAUUGAUCGUAUUUAACAUGCUUAAAUCUAAACUUUUACUCGGAAUGGUCUAGGUUGGACUGGAUUUUGUAGGUGUACAUUAUAAAGUGGUAACUAUGCAUGGUGUAAGUGUUAGCACUAGGUACUGAGCACACGUGCAGUAAAAUGCAGGUUAAGACGUAUAGUUGCUUAGCAUAACCUACUGAGGGUCAUGUUGGUUGGUUUGGCUGUGUGACGUUCAGUGGCGGAGCUGAGGAUGGAGAAAUUUACUGAUGCUCAGUGAGUGAAUGUCACACACGGUGCAUGAUGACAUAGACUGGUAAGAUGAUUAAUGCAUUAACUGAUUUCUUGGUCCACUCCACUGCGGUCAUGUCUAAAUAGUCAGGGGCACUACAGAGGGACACUACCUCAGACUGUACACUGUGUGGCAGAAGGGAGCCAUCAUGGGUACAGGAAUGUUGGAGAAAUUUUGAACCAUAGGGCAUCUUACUGUAAACAUUAAACAACCCAAGGCUUGGGUGCAGGCAGAGGUGACAGGUUAGGUGUUAGGGUGAAGGUUAGGUUCAGACAAUGGUCAAAGGAAAUGCAUAUCUACACAGAAACAGAUUUCACUUCUUCCAGAAUUUACUUGAAUCUUAAGAUCUAACAUUAACCAGUGUUUCACUUUGUUGCCAUGUUGUUUUGCUUGGUUAUAUUCUAAAGUUGCACAGUACACCUCCGAGAAACACACACACAUACUCACACUCCUCUCAUACAUCCCUCAACUGUUUUGUCUUGCUGCUCUGUGCACUGUGGGACAUUAGAGCUGGCAUGGCUAGAGUGACCUUAAACUGUGUUUAAGCAAAGAUAAUCUUGUCGUGCCACAGUGUUGACUGUCAUUUUACUUUAGCUUUGCCCACUUAAAGGCUUCCGCUUGGGAAAAAUGCACCGCUGAUGGUGUAUGAAAGGAAGGUGUACUCAAGGCCACUGACACUGAAACAUGCUUAUAGUUCAUUAUUUGCCUCUAACAGAAAUCAGUCAAGGCACACACGCACACACAAACACACAUGCACACUGAUAAAUAAACAAACAAAAAAAUGGAAUGCUGCAGAGGAAUGCUGUGUUCAACUCCAUCUUCCUUCACUGUACAGGUAAUGCAAUUAGUGUAAUUAGGAGAGUCCCU